CUAUUAGCGCCGCUUCUGUUCCUUUCGGUUUCAGCCCUCCGCCGCCAGCGGCGCUCUCUCCUUCCCCAGCUGCUGAUGCUGCUUCGUCUGGCGGUGCUGGGUUUGCGAAGCUCUCCUAGUUCGGGAGGCGGAAGAUCCGAGGGAACGCCGCGAGAUGGAUGAUGUGUGUGACGAGUGCGGAGAUGUUGGCUAUAGUCAUCUUCUGCUGCGAUGCAUCAACUGCAACAAUGCUGCUAGGCAUAGAUAUUGUUUGGAUGUGAUAAACUUCGAUUCAGCAGUGGAGUGGUCAUGUAGUGAUUGUAUCCCAAGACACAUUGAAGCCAUUAAGUCGCAAGGAGACGCAAAUUGUCAAAGGCAACUAAGGAACACCCAGUUGGAUUGCUCUGUAGUCAAUGAACCAAAUGUGGAGCAAGAGAAGGUAACGAAGGCACGAGGACUUCGUAGAAAUAGACCAUGCCGAGAAAGAGAAGCUAGUAUUGAACAUGUCCCGGGUGGAGACACAUCGAAUCGGGGACGAUGUGUUGAAGAGACAUUAGAUUCUUGUGAAAUCUCUGUCCGGGAUAUACCCAACCUCAUUAAUUGUAAGAAGGAAGGGGAGGAUAUAAAUGGACACUUAAUUUGCACACCGGAGAGUUUAGAUGGUUCAAGUAAUUUGGCUUUGGAUCAUGCUUCAAGUAUUGAACCCAACAAUUUGCAAAAGGCAAUUGGUGGUUCUAAACUUGCUUCAGAUUCUAUGGACUGUCCUGAUCUCCCAAAUGCAAGGAGUGGCUGCUUUGCUUCAUUGAAGUAUGUAGAGGGUUUUGUUCCACCAGGAAGAAAGGGCGAUAUUUUUUCUCUAAUGAAUGAGGUCGAGGGAUCCCGUCCAGUGAUUGUGGAUAAGUCUUGUUCUACAUCGGCAAGUAUGGAGCAAGCAGAUGGUUUAUUGGUAAAGAUAGAGAAAUCUGAACCUUUGAAGUUGGUUAAAGGAUUGGAGGAGACUGUUGUAGCAUCAAAGUUUGCACCAAAUCAUUCAAAGCCGAUGCAAGGAUCAGAUCUGGAGACAGGGAGAGUGGAUGUCUUGAAUCCUCUAGAGCAGCGUUUGGACUCUUGGGCAAUGCCGCUGAUGCAAUCAGGUCCCUCAAAUGAACUAGAAGAUGCGGCUAUUCAGGAAAACGGUGCUGAAAGAACAAUGUGCUUGGUGGAGAUGGAAACCGUUGCCUCUGAAUUGGAGAACCACAAAGGAUCAAAUCCCAAAAUGGCAAAUGAAAGCUUGAGUUGUGGUGAAGGUAACUCAGAUGAAGCAAAUAGAAGAUCAGAUGAGCUUUUAUCAAGCACCAAAUACAAUAAGAUGCGAAGGCGAAUGUGUGUCGCUAGAAAGAUAGUUAACUCUUGCAAGGUAAAUGGAAUUACAGAUCCUGAGCCAGCACAUGGUAACCGAGAUGCAAUAAACCUCCAAUGUAAUGCAGGAAAGACAUCUUCUCUUGCCGUCAAAAAGGUGCCUCUUCAGCUGAUAUUGCAAGAGGAAGGCAUUAACAAUGAGUUAUUGCAAGAGGAAGGCAUUAGCAAUGAGUUAUUGCAAGAGGAAGGCAUUAGCAAUGAGUUAUUGCCUUCCAAGUUUGUUGGUCCAUGUGAGUCAACAAAAAUCAACCCUAGAAAGCGUAAGCAAUCAGAAAAUUACGCUCCUGAUGGAACAAAAUAUCAGAAAGCCUGUAUUAUAAGUGGGAAUGAAAAUGCCAAUGUUGCACGGUCAAAAAGUGGUAGACCAGCACGAACUUGCCAGAACACGCCCAGGAAAGACAAUGGUAGCAAUGAUAAAGUUAUUGGGCACUCAAAGAUGGGAAAAGAUAAGAAAAUUGUUAAGUCAUGGCUGGCUAACAAUGGUAUCCGAUAUUCACGGAAGAGAGGUAUGGUUACAGGUGUCUUGCAGCCCUACUCUCUUCGUAGACGUUCUGUGGACAGAUCAAGACCUUCACGGAAGAGAGGUAUGGUUACCAGUGUCUUGCAGCCCUACUCUCUGCGUAGACGUUCUGUGGACAGAUCAAGACCUUCACAGGAGAGCGGUGUUGUUACCAGUGUCUUGCAGCCCUACUCUCUGCGCAGACGUUCUGUGGACAGAUCAAGACCUUCACAGGAGAGCGGUGUUGUUACCAGUGUCUUGCAGCCCUACACUCUCUGCGUAGGCGUUCUGUGGACAGAUCAAGACCUUCACAGGAGAGAGGUAUGGUUACCAGCGUCUUGCAGCCCUACUCUCUGCGCAGACGUUCUGUGGACAGACCAAGACCUUCAGAAAACAUGGAUCUGGCGCUGAUGGAAAGCAGCUGCGCAUUGAAUAAUCCAAGCAGCAGUUGUGCAGCGCAAGCAUCAGGUUUCUCUUCAAAAUCGAAAGAAUUACGCGAGCGCGAUGAGCCAAAGAAACGAAGAAAACUCAUUUUAACUUAUGACGAAGAGGAAGAUGCCGAGGCCUUACAGGCAGAAGAUCUGAAUUCCCGGUCUUGUGAUGAUGAUGAACAUGUGAUGAAGCAAAGAAAAUGCAUGGAAAAUGCUGCAGAGAACCAGAGAAGAUCUGUAGUAGAAGGUAAAGAAGCUUUGGGGUCGGGAAAUUUGAAUCAAUAUUCGAAGAAUCAUAAGCAGGUGAAGAAGCAGAGAAGCAUAGAGGCAGAGGAAGAUGAAAAUGCAUCUGUAAGAAAUCCGAAUGCUGGAUGUUCAAGGAUGCCAGUCAUUUCAGAAUGUAUUGGCGGGCAACCCCUUGAUAUACCUUAUUGGACUGGAAUCAUGAAGAUCAACAAUAACUAUAUUCCAUUGGCUGCACACCUGUCAACCAAAGCAGGCAAGAAGGUGCAGGAACUGUCAAGAUCACUGCCACCAAUAAUGAAAGUGGCCAAGCUUUCUACAUCAAAAUCAUGUCCGCACUUUGAGGCAUCGAUACCUACAGCUGACAGCAUUGGCUUGUAUUUCUUUUCGGGUGAUAUUAGGCCAAAUAAAGAGCUGGAUGAGCUGGUGAAGCAUCUCGCUGAUAGUGGAAGUGUUCUAGAAGCUGUUGUUGGUUUGAGGAAGCUGAUUCUCUUCCCUUCUGGUGUACUACCAGUGGAACAUCAGACGUUCCAAGGGAAACCCUAUCUAUGGGGAAUGUUCAAGCCCAGAAAAGAUAAGAUCAGAAGAUUACCUCCAGUGGAACAAGAUUGUACUGCACAUGUUUCAAAGGAAGAACAUGCCCAAGAACAGCAUGCCUUGGACCAGGAAGACAAGGCGCAAAGCGACACCCUGGACCCGGUCGUGCAUCCCGAGAAUCAACCCUUACUGGAUGCAAACCAACUAGGAAAGGAAGCGUUGUCUGGCAAUGUCCUGCCCCCUGUUGACGUGGGAGCUCUAGUUUCUGCAAAUAUCGGCCCAGCUGAUCAUGGACAGCCCUGCUCAAAUCCAGAAGCCCCGCCACUUAAACUCUGUGGUUUUGUUGUCUCACGGACACCAAGAUCUGCGCAACUCAUCCAGGAGAUGCAGAAGGAAGGUGCAUUACUGUUCGCUGUGCAGAAGGUGAUGACAGAACCUGGCUCAGUGAUAUAGGACCAGAACAUGCCCGUGGCAACCAUGCUGUGGUUUCAGAGGAGCAUACCUGGAGCUGUUUCCUCUUUAAGGAGCGGCGCGCAGCGGUGGUCACUCUAGGGGUAGAAACAGGCUAGCAGUAGACCUGAGAGUUCUUUAGCUUCAGUGUGGGCUCAUUGUGCCUUGCACCUUCUAUGUCCGUCUCCGUUUUUCUGCUAUAGCUAGCCCCUGUCAUGUUGAGGACUGAACUGUGGUGGUGUAGUGGUGUUCGCUCUCUGUAUGAUGUAUUAAGAGCCGACUUAGCUGAGCUUACUUUUCUGUUGUGCAAGUUGUACAAGUUUGAGCCAAUUUUGCUGAUUGUACUGUAAAAGCAUCUCCUCUGUACAAUAUGAUGCGCAAAUUAUCAUCA